rnacentral:rRNA from 1 species
CCUACGGGAGGCAGCAGUGGGGGAUAUUGCACAAUGGGGGGAACCCUGAUGCAGCGACGCCGCGUGGGUGAAGAAGCGCCUCGGCGCGUAAAGCCCUGUCAGCAGGGAAGAAAAUGACGGUACCUGAAGAAGAAGCCCCGGCUAACUACGUGCCAGCAGCCGCGGUAAUACGUAGGGGGCAAGCGUUAUCCGGAUUUACUGGGUGUAAAGGGGGCGCAGACGGCGAUGCAAGCCAGGAGUGAAAGCCCGGGGGCCAACCCCGGGACUGCACUUGGAACUGCAUGGCUGGAGUGCAGGAGGGGCAGGCGGAAGUCCUGGUGUAGCGGUGAAAUGCGUAGAUAUCAGGAGGAACACCGGUGGCGAAGGCGGCCUGCUGGACUGCAACUGACGUUGAGGCCCGAAAGCGUGGGGAGCAAACAGGAUUAGAUACCCCGGUAGUC